CGUGAGAUGUUGGUUAGUCCCGCAACGAGCGCAACCCCUACUUGUUAGUUGCCAUCAUUCAGUUGGGCACUCUAGCGAGACUGCCGGUAAUAAACCGGAGGAAGGUGGGGAUGACGUCAAAUCAUCAUGCCCCUUAUGACCUGGGCUACACACGUGCUACAAUGGUUGGUACAACGAGUUGCGAGUCGGUGACGGCGAGCUAAUCUCUUAAAGCCAAUCUCAGUUCGGAUUGUAGGCUGCAACUCGCCUACAUGAAGUCGGAAUCGCUAGUAAUCGCGGAUCAGCACGCUGCGGUGAAUACGUUCCCGGGCCUU
rnacentral:rRNA from 1 species